UGCAGAGAAAGCAAAUAUCAAAAUAAUCAAUUACCUUGAAAAUAGAGCUGUUUGCUUUUCACAAUAACAAAGAAAGACAUGGUUUUUUGCUUACUCGUGCCUUCUUCUGCAUCGCGAGCAUAUCUGUUGGAUAAUUUUAGAAGAGCUAGUGGUUGAUGAAUAUUAUUCAGAAGGCUUAAAUUUUAACAAUACAGAAGGG